CACGACCGAAAACCAGACGCGAAAGUGU
rnacentral:sRNA from 1 species